CUCCUAGGACCACCAUUCUGCACCCCUCCAUCCCUUAUAGCCCGUCUAGCAUCAACCACCUGGAAGAAGAGGUGGGAGGAGACCAGUACUGAUCAGCUCACAGCCCCGCUAGCGAUGGGCCUCCAAGCGCUUGCGCACUCUUUUCACUGCACUGCAGGGGUCUGCUUCACGCAGGGAGGGGGUUUCUCUGCGCAUGCGCACUCUGGAUGUACUGCAGUUCCAGCUUUACGCUGGGAGGGGGCUUCUUGGCAUCUGCGCACUCUGCUUACAGCACUGCGGACCAUGAUUUGCGGCUGCGCCAGUUUGGCACCUUCCAGAAAGCUCCAGGGCUGGGCGGGAGGAUAGAUAGGGGGUGUUGACGUGUUAUUCUCUUCUCCAGCUCCUCCUUCCGCUGGAGCUGACAGCCCCCAAGUGUUCAUUUUGUGAUUUGUUGCUGCGUCGACAGACCGCAACCAAACUACACAGGCAUUGCCCCUUUCUGUUCUUUGACAUCUGACUGGGGUGUUGGGACUUAGAAGUGAGCUGUGCGGGUCACCAGAGUAGGAUUAGAGUCAAAUAACAAACCCUAAAUUUGGAAAGAGAGCAGCUGCGUGAAGGCAAUUUGGGCAGAUUGACAGUCUGGAGUGUUCUCCAGACCAGCAGCAGCAACAGGAUUGCCGCAGACAUGUUGGAAACGCAGACUCUCAGCCCAUCCUAGUCUUGUCAAGCUGAAACUCAGCUCAGCUAUCUCUUUUGAUGUACUUCAUCAUACUUAACUAAAGGAAGCCAACUGACACUUUACACAUUCUAUCUGGAAAUCGUCUUGCCGAGGUACAGAAAAUCAUUAGGUAAAUCUUCCAUUUUACCACUGGCAAUAGUUUCACCACUUGUUCUACCGCUAUGUAACAUGGAUUACCAUUUUUCCAACCUUUGAUAGCUGUUUCCUUUCCAUUUUUCCAGCUUCUAUCCACAGGAAGUGUGCUCACCCUUUUCCAGUUUUUCCUAACAGUUUCUUCACUGUUUUCAAUUUGUACCCGCUGCUCCAUUCCAAAGUCAGUGUCACAAUCUUUCUAUUUUUGUUACAGUACCACCACACUUCUAAGAACUUAUGAUGUAGCAGUUAGCUUUGGUGCAUAUCAAAC
rnacentral:lncRNA from 1 species